rnacentral:misc_RNA from 1 species
AAAUGCGAUAAGUAGUGUGCAUUGCAGAAUUCAGUGAAUCAUCGAAUCUUUGAACGCACAUUGCGCCCUUUGGUAUUCCUUAGGGCAUGUCUGUUCGAGCGUCAUCUAAACCUUCAAGCCCUGCUUGGUGUUGGGUGCCUGUCCCGCCUCCGCGCGCGGACUCACCUCAAAUCCAUUGGCGGCCCCCGCGUCGGCCACGAGCGCAGCAGAAACGCGAACUCGUGAGCCCGUCCGGGCGGCUCCCAGAAGCUACACCCACCCAGUUUGACCUCGGAUCAGGUAGGGAUACCCGCUGAACUUAAGC